UUGUACCAGUUUGCAAUCCCACCAAUGAUGAAGGAGUGUUCCUAUUUCUAUCUGUGUUCUGUUCCCCUUCCCUUGAAAGCUUUCCUUAUGGUGCUGUGCUAGUUUCCUGAUGUCUCGGGUCAUUGCAAUUUAAACAUACUUAUUUAAAGAUUUCACUUUAGCAAAUAAGAGGAAACAUGCAAUGUUUGUCUUUCCAGGUCUGGGUACUUCAGUGAUUGAUUAUCUUUAGCUUCAUCAAUUUACCUGCUAAUUUCAGUUUUCUUUAUACCUUAAUAAUAUUUCAUUGUGUACACAUACCACAUUUUUAUUAUCAAUUCAUCAGUUGAUGGUCAUUUCCAGGCUAUUGGGAAUAGAGAAAUAAUGAAAUUGAAGGAGCACAUAAGAUAAAACAUCUCUGGGGAAUAUACCCAAUAGUCAUAGAGCUAUACCAUAUGAUAGUGCUAUUUUAAGAAAUUUGAGAAAACUCCACAGGGAUUUCCACAGUGGCUGCACCAGUUCCCACUCCCAGUGAUAGUGAAUACACGUCCCCCCUACACCCACACCAGCAUUUGUUAUUAAUUUUUGUCAUUUUAGUUAUUUUCUGGCUGGGUAAGAUGAAAUCUCAAAAGAAGUUUUAAUAUGCACUUUUCUGAUAGAGAAGGAUGGGGCACUUUUGAAGGGUGUUUAUCACUCUUGUGUUUCAUUGUUGGAGAGGUCUAUGUUUAGUGCCAAGCCCUGAUUUUAAAUUGUGGUUUGGUUGAUUUAUUAUUAUUAUUAUUAUUAUUAUUAUUAUUAUUAUUUAUUAAAUUGUCUUUUAUAGUCUAGUCAUUAUGCCCCUCCUGGUCCAUACUCUAACAGUUCCUCAUCCUAUUCUUUCUCCCCUGUAUUCAAGAUGAUGUUUCCCGCUCCCCAUCCCACCAGACCUCCCCAUUCCCUGGGGCCACAAGUCUCUUGAGGGUUUAGUGCUUCUUCUCUCACUGAGGCCAGACUAGGAAAUCCUCUGAUGUAUGGGAGACACCUUCUAUUGACUCCCUCACCUCCACUUGCAUACCUAUGUGUGUAUGUGUGUAUAAGUGUAUUUUCACAUAUAGACAUGUACACCAACACUCAUGCCACAAACAUAAGAUUUAUAAAGUUCAACAAAAUAUAAUAUUAAACAAAACAAAACAUUAAAGAAAACACAAUGUGCACUGCUUCUACUUCUGUGCUCUAUGGAAGAGAUAGCGCAUCUGCAUGAUCGUUAAGAUUUCACAUAAUGUUGACAAGAGUUGAUCAAUUUUGGUUCACUAGGAUGAUGAAUUUAUACUGUUUGUCAUUGUAAAAAUUAUAUGCUUAUGCCUUCAUUAUAGUUUGCAUACUAUACUACACUUUACAUAGUAUCCUUUUACAUAGCAAAAUGCUAAUCAAUGAUUUGUUUCAGUACCCAUCCUUAGGAAAGACUUCUCAGUGUAUGAGAAAAGAUGCUGAAAUAAUAGUUUGUCUCCUGGCCCCAUGUCUACCAUUUUUCACAGAUUUCCUUUAAGAUAGAUCUGAAUUUCCCAUUUAGCCUCUUUUUUUUUGCAUUAGAGAUAUUACAUAAAUAAAUUGCUUUAGGCUGCAAAUAGCUGUGUCCUCUCCAUGUUGACUCAAAUACAAGGAGCUGCUUUCUUCAGAGAUGCAAAUAUGGAAAAGCUAGAAGUUGGUUUUAUGUGUUCAAGAGUAUUCUUAUCCCAGAACCUUUUUGUCUUCCUUCUCUAUGAUUUUCUGAGCCAUGAAUAUGGGAUUUUCUGCUUUCUUUGCCAAAAAUAUUAUGGCAGCAUCAUUUCCUCGCAAUUCAAUAUUCAAAGUGUAUAUACUCACCUGUUUCCUAGGCACAUAUAGAACAACAACAAAGUAAAAAUCUCCUUUCUAGCAAGACGCUGUGAUAAGCACCUCAAGUCACCACUACUUUCAGAAUUUUAUCAGUUUGGUGAUUAAUAAACUAAUUACACAUAACAAAAUUCCAUCUUCAUCCUCAGUUGAAUAAAGUACCUUCUUUGAGAGCAUUUAGACAGAAUAUGAACAUUCUUACACAAAGAGGUUUGUUGAGGAAGAAGGUAUAUGAUGAUCUAUACUCAAUCUAAUCUGUUCUCUACCAACUUGUGCAACAGACAAGCAAUACAAAUAGACUACAAAAUUGGGAAUAAACUUGAUUUUAAAUAGUUUUCUACAUUGUUUCACUGUGUAGUGAAAGAACUUAGUAGGUCCAUGAAGAGGUUAGAAUACAUAACUAAUUAUUCUGUAUUUGCAAUCAUUUAAACACACCCCCUCCAGUCAAGUAAAUAAGUAUCUAAGUUAGAAGCAAUGAUAUUUGAGAUAUAGGAAAACUAAAAGUUCAUGUGGGAAGUAUGUAGAAAAUCAGAAAUAUUUUAAGAACAUUUGACUAAUUGACCCUAUUUCCAUAAUAUCAAAAAUUACAGAAAUUCAUAGUUUGGAAUUAAACUAAACUAAAUCUCAGAAAGUGAGUUUUGAAAUUCAUUAACUUUGAUGAUGUCUACCUUACAGAAACAUCUACAGAAAUUGAACCUUAAAGUAUAGUAAAUCAAAGAUACACUGAAGAUAGUUGAAAACAGUUUAAGUAUUCUUUCACUGUUUGCUUCCAAGGAGGCCAAAUACGAGUUUCUUAGAAACUCUGGGGAAAUGCUUUUUCUAAAUUACAUGUAUUAUUUGAUCCUCAGUAUUUCAUGAGUGCAAAAACUAAACCAACCACAACAAAAAUAUUGAGAAACAAAAUACCAAAGUACAAAAGCAUAAGAUUUAAACAAUCACUUACUGUGAAUUUACUUUGCAUAUUGUAAUGCCUUUAUGUUAAUAUCUUAUUUUAUAGGAAAUUGAAUGAAGGGAAGGGUCACAUAAGAAGCCCCAGGUUAACAGGAAGAAGUCAGAAUAUCACUAUUUGUAGAUGAAAUGAUAGAAUACUUAAGUGACCCCAAAAGUUCUACCAGAGAAGUCCUACAGAUAAUAAACAACUUCAGCAAAGUG
rnacentral:lncRNA from 1 species